AUUGAACGCUGGCGGAAUGCUUUACACAUGCAAGUCGAACGGCAGCACGGACUUCGGUCUGGUGGCGAGUGGCGAACGGGUGAGUAAUGUAUCGGAACGUGCCCAGUCGUGGGGGAUAACGUAGUGAAAAUUACGCUAAUACCGCAUACGAUCUAUGGAUGAAAGCGGGGGAUCGCAAGACCUCGCGCGAUUGGAGCGGCCGAUAUCAGAUUAGGUAGUUGGUGGGGUAAAGGCCCACCAAGCCAACGAUCUGUAGCUGGUCUGAGAGGACGACCAGCAACACUGGAACUGAGACACGGUCCAGGGUCCUACGGGAGGCAGCAGUGGGGAAUUUUGGACAAUGGGCGAAAGCCUGAUCCAGCCAUUCCGCGUGCAGGAUGAAGGCCGUCGGGUUGUAAACUGCUUUUGUACAGAACGAAAAGGUUUCUACUAAGACCAGGAGCGCAUGACGGUACUGGAAGAAUAAGCACCGGCUAACUACGUGCCAGCCGCCGCAGUAA
rnacentral:rRNA from 1 species